UGAGCGGAGAGUUUGAUCCUGGCUCAGGAUAAACGCUGGCGGCGUGCCUUAUGCAUGCAAGUCGAACGAGCCCCAGGACUUCGGUUCUGAGGCAAGUGGCGGACGGGUGAGUAACACGUACGUAACCUAUCCGAACGUGGGGAACAACUCCGCGAAAGCGGGGCUAAUACCGCAUGUGGUCGGCCGGUGAGAGUCCGGUUGACGAAAGCCUUAGGGCGCGUUCGGAGGGGCGUGCGGCCGAUUAGCUAGUUGGUGGGGUAACGGCCUACCAAGGCGACGAUCGGUAGCUGGUCUGAGAGGACGGCCAGCCACACGGGGACUGAGACACGGCCCCGACUCCUACGGGAGGCAGCAGCAA
rnacentral:rRNA from 1 species